AUCAACUUUCGAUGGUAGGAUAGAGGCCUACCAUGGUGGUAACGGGUAACGGGGUGUUAGGGCACGACACCGGAGAGGGAGCCUGAGAAACGGCUACCACAUCCAAGGAUGGCAGCAGGCGCGCAAAUUACCCAAUCCCGACACGGGGAGGUAGUGACAAUAAAUAACAAUACGGGGUUCUUUAGGAUCUCGUAAUUGGAAUGAGUACAAUUUAAAUCUCUUAACGAGGAACAAUUGGAGGGCAAGUCUGGUGCCAGCAGCCGCGGUAAUUCCAGCUCCAAUAGCGUAUAUUAAAGUUGUUGCAGUUAAAAAGCUCGUAGUUGAAUUUCGGGGUUAGUAAGUUGGUCAUGCCUUUGGUAUGUACUGGCUUCACUGAUUCCUCCUUCUUGACGAACCGUGAUGUCAUUAAUUUGGUGUUGCGGGAAAUCAGGACUGUUACUUUGAAAAAAUUAGAGUGUUUAAAGCAGGCUAACGCUUGAAUACAUUAGCAUGGAAUAAUGAAAUAGGACGUUAAUCCUAUUUUGUUGGUUUCUAGGAUCGACGUAAUGAUUAAUAGGGAUAGUUGGGGGCAUUAGUAUUCAAUUGUCAGAGGUGAAAUUCUUGGAUUUAUUGAAGACUAACUACUGCGAAAGCAUUUGCCAAGGAUGUUUUCAUUAAUCAAGAACGAAAGUUAGGGGAUCGAAGACGAUCAGAUACCGUCGUAGUCUUAACCAUAAACUAUGCCGACUAGGGAUCGGAUGAUGUUAUUUUUAAUGACUCAUUCGGCGCCUUACGGGAAACCAAAGUGUUUGGGUUC
rnacentral:rRNA from 1 species